rnacentral:rRNA from 1 species
UACGAAGGGGGUAGCGUGUCUCGGAAUCACUGGGCGUAAAGGGUGCGUAGGCGGGUCUUAAGUCAGGGGUGAAAUCCUGGAGCUCAACUCCAGAACUGCCUUUGAUACUGAGGAUCUUGAGUUCGGGAGAGGUGAGUGGAACUGCGAGUGUAGAGGUGAAAUUCGUAGAUAUUCGCAAGAACACCAGUGGCGAAGGCGGCUCACUGGCCCGAUACUGACGCUGAGGCACGAAAGCGUGGGGAGCAAACAGG